rnacentral:lncRNA from 1 species
ACGCCCUUCGCGCGGUGGUCUCCACGUACCACUUGCUCAUGCGGUUCCCCACGGCGGUCGGGAUCGGAGAGGUCCGAGGUGACCAACCGACUGCACGGCAAUGUUUUCUAGCAACCCUCAAAGGGAAGAAGCCCGUGGAAGCCCUAAGCGUCGAGUCCCUUGAUGCCAGAGACGAGGUGGCCUUGCGGCAGGGGGAGCCGGCC